rnacentral:lncRNA from 1 species
GGAUUGGCUUAGGUCAGCUUCUUCACCAGGACACCAUAGACCACCUGGCCCUUUGUGCCAGCCUCAGCACCCUGCUGCCCUGUGACCCCCUCAAUCCUGAUGCUGCUGUCUCCAAGCUCCGUGAAUUUGGCAGCUAAGCAGCCUCCAGCCCCAUCUGUGUGGUGGAGACAACCUCACACAACUGUGAUGCAAAAUGAAACCAUGUAUGAGAAACUCAGGAUGUGCUUAGUUAUUCUGUCCUUUCAGUGGCUACUGUUUCUCUUUUAUUUUUUUUUUUUUCUUUCUUUUAUUUUUCCUGGCUGUGGCAUGCAGAAGUUCCUGGGAUUGAGCCCAAGCCACAGCAGUGACAAUGCUGAAGCCUCAACCUACUAGGCCACCGUGGAGCUCCAGGUGUUUUUCCCCUCCCCCUCCAGCUGUGAGGUUCUCCCCCACCCCCCAGUUGUGUGGUCAGGCCCAGUGCUCACACCCCAGGGCAUUGAGAUCCUCUCUCUGCUCACCUGGCUGUCCCAAGAUGACAGUGGUUCCCAAGGGCAGGACCCCAUCUUUCAUCUCUGUAUCUGCAGUUUCUAGCACAGACCUAUGCACAGUGAGUGUAUCCAGGAAGCAGGGGUGGGCAGGAAGGAGGCAGCUGUUGUGGCAUUGUAGGCCUAGGCUGAGCAGCAGAGCAAAGCAGCUCAUCCAAAGCCCAGAGGUGUUGGGUUUUCGAGGGGCAGUCUCUGGGCCCCGCAUGAGGACGUCCUGGAGCCCACCAGCCCCUCAUGCUUGUGCUGAGCUCCAUAUUUCAAAGUGAGACAUCAUCUGAAGCUCGUUUUGAGGGGCUGCAGCAGAGGCGCAACCCUCAGUUCACAGAUGGGGAAACCAGACCAGGUGAGCCCCAACUCUGUGACCACAACUUUCUCCUGAGCCCUGCCAUUGGCCCAGCUGGUGUCCAGGCCCCACUGAAGAGCUAGACUCUGAUCGGGGUCCCUUGAGACUUAGGCUUGUGUUUAGCAGCUUUUCCUCUACUGGCAUAUUCAUCUCACGAAGGUGAGUCAAGCAUCUGUCCUGACCUGCAAUGCAGUGGUACACAUGCUAGAUUCACGAGAUUAAUAUCCCACGGGCGCUUAAUACAUAAAGUCUAGUAUUUUUGUUUCAUCUUCUUUGUCGUCUUUGCAGAAACAGAGUCAGUGCAAAUCUGCAGUUGAUGGCAGCUGGUCAAAGGCUUUUGGUCUGGAAAACUCCUCAAAGGUGAAGAGUUUACAUUGAUGAAGAGCCUGCUCUGUGAGCUCACUCCGCUUACAGACAAGAAAACUGAGGCUUGGAAGUUCCUGCUGUGGCUCAACAGGAUUGGCAGCAUUGCUGAAGCACCAGGAUGCAGGUUUGACCCCCGGCCUGGCACGGUGAGUUAAAAGAUCCAGCAUUGCCACAGCUUUGGUGUAGGUCACAACUGAGGCUUGGAUCUGAUCCCUGGCUCAAAGACUCCAUAUGCUGAGGGGUGGCCAAAAAAGAAAAAAAA